CGAGAGUUAACUGCCGCUCCCAGUGCGGCCGAGCUGGGUUCUCUCGGUCCAUAGGCACCACCUGUUGCCCUUAAGUUAGAAAACAAGACGCCCGCGGAGGGAGCCAAGUGGCCCCACCAGGAUCCCAGCAACAGCCCCGUGAGGUAGAAAUAUCCCGGUUCUACAAAUGAGGAAAUAAACUGAAAGAUGAGCUGUUUCUGCUGACCCAGGAAAAUAAGUGGUGGCCCUUUAACUUAAAGUCUACUACUCAGGGGAAUUCUAACUUUUUUUGAGGGAAACACAGCGCCAUCUGUUGGACUCUGUUAACAACUGUAACUAUUGUCUGGAUCUAUCCACUUAAAUGGAAUAUUGGGUAUUUCUUCUGGCCUGAGACACCAUGACAAAAUUAUUUAGAGACUAGAGGCUCUGUGAACCUUGGCUUUAGUUAUGGUUUUCCAAACUUUGCUAACAGUGUUUGUAAAAAUACACAUUUCUGAUCUCUAUCACAGACCUGCUGACUCUGAAUCUUUAGGGGAGGGGCUAGUGACCUGUAUCCAACAAGAAUCCCAGGUACUUAAUGAUUAGACAUUUUGAAGAAAUACUGAUCUUAUGAAAUGGGUAAGCUUUCUUUUUCUAAAAUACUACAACUGAGUAAUUUACCUUGUUUCUCCUUUUUGAAUUCCAGGACCCAGAUCAAAUCUGAUGCCUCUAGCAUUUUUCCUCUCUUCUAUAAUCUGAUUUUCUAUGUUAUGCCUAAAUUAAGCAGGCACACAUUGUAGCUGAUGUCCUUCAUGACCUUUGCUGCCCUAUUUUUACAUAUUGUUUUCUGUUCUAGGAUACUUCACUUUAUUUUUUUUUUUUUGUAGGUAUUUACUGGAAUCUCCCAAGUUUGAAAGUCUGGGUAAACAGAAGGCAAGGACUAUGGUGGAAGGAAUUGAUUCAGUGGAGGCAACAGACACACAGCAUAUAAUUGCUAUGAAUACAAUAGGACUUCUGGAUGUCGACAUGGAGGAAAUCUUUGAGCACAUCUGAGUGGCAGACUGAAUGCUUCUGUGCUGCCAAAUGUAUGACAUCAGUGACUGUUCAUGCUGCUGAGCGUAGAGAACUCUUUCAUGGUUAAAAAUAUUGACGUGGUCUCAGUCAAGGACUAUAGCUGGAAGGGGCUUCAAGUGGGAACUUCUGAGAAGUGGGGCAAGGGUCUGCCCUGGGACCUGGACUCAACAGCAGGGUUUGAACGGAGAUGGGAGAAAGGCCCAGUUCUGGUGCAUGCUGUGGAUGAAUGCAGAAGUUUGUCCUCAUCCUGCCUUCCCAGCAGGGUGGACUUCCUCCGGAUAUAAGCUCACUCUUCCACUAUGUCAGAACUACUGUGGGCUGUGCAGAGAUCUUGACCAAUAAUCACAUUACGGAGAGUAGGUCUUGUCUGGAACAGUAACACUGCAGUACAGACCACAACAAAGGGCUGAAAGGCCAAUGGGAGGCCACUCAUAUCCUUGACUCUAUCAUCACAAAAUAUUUACAGAUAAGGCUGGCUCUUUAAGUUCCCAUGGUUAUGGGAUCAUUCAGGCAGAGAGAGGGGGCCCCAGGAGACAAACAGUGGUCUUCCUGCUAACCUAAUAUUUGAUUCUGAGGCAGUCGUUGAAAAAUAAGAUCUCUGACCUUCCUGUACCCUCAGCUCUUGAGGUAGGUCCCACCAAUUGCAGGAUGAAUAGUCAAAGAUUUUUUUUUUUUAAAUUUGAAGACAACCAACUUCAGAUCUGUGUUUUGAGAAGAUUACCCUGGCAAAAAAUGAUUAAGAAUAGCAGGGGGAAUGGGGUGCCUGGGUGGCUCAUUUGGUUAGACAACUGCCUUCGGCUCAGGUUACGGUCCUGGAGUCCUGGAAUCGAGUACCACAUCGGGCUCCCUGCUCCGCGGGGAGUCUGCUUCUUUCUCUCUCUCUCUCAAAUAAAUAAACAAAAUCUCAAAAAAAAAAAAAAAAUAGAGCAGGUAGGACUAGUCAGGCAGUUUGGUAAGACUCCUGACUAGAGGUAACAGAAGUCCUAAAUACGGUAGCAGGGAAAAUGGCUUUUGACAGGAAAACAGGAGUUAAAUCAUUUGGAGAGAAGACUGACAGGUCCUAGAAACUGAUACAUGAAGUGAAAAGCGUGUCAUAGGGCUCUAACGUAUUCAGGCAGAGCAACUAGACGCAUACGACCCAAGCCAGGCUGCGUGAAUAUUGUGAUGUUUGUAUGCAGAACUGAAAGAGGGCUUGGAGGCCCAGGAAGGAAUUGCUACUGGUCAGCUACAUUGAAUCAACACUGAUACACUAGUAUUCCUUUCAGUAGAAGGGAAUGCAGAGCAUGCCCAGCCAUGAGGGCAGAGGUAGUUUACAGUGGAGAACAGAGACAGGUCUGAAAUGGCGCCCUCUGUAGGUGGCACCGGAUCGGAGGAAGACCCAAACAACCGUUCUUAAAAAUUCCUCUAGUCCCAC